rnacentral:rRNA from 1 species
UACGUAGGCAGCGAGCGUUGUUCGGAGUUACUGGGCGUAAAGGGUGUGUAGGCGGUUGUUUAAGUUUGGUGUGAAAUCUCCCGGCUCAACCGGGGAAGCGGCGCCGAUACGACCGGCCUCGAGGGACGUAGGGGGGGCUGGAACUUCCGGUGGAGCGGUGAAAUGCGUUGAGAUCGGAAGGAACGCCCGUGGCGAAAGCGAGCCCCUGGACGUCUACUGACGCUGAGACGCGAAAGCCAGGGGAGCGAACGGG